UUUUUUUUUUUUUUUUUUUGUAAAUAUGCUAGAUUAUUUCCAUAGUGAAAAAUACGAAGCAAGCUAAAUCUCCAUCAAAUAGGAGUUACAAUAAUUCUGGUACAUCCAGUUGACAGAUUUAUAGGCAACCAAUAAAAAUCUUCUUCUUACAGAAUAUUUAAAAAUAUUGGGAAAAACAUGUGGUAUAUUAAGUGUAUUAAAGCAGCUUAACAAAACUGGGUUUGUGUUAAGUAAGAAGGCAUUAUUUCUCGGUGGAUAAAAACCUGGGCUCUGAGCCUGAUUGCUUGGUUAGAAUCCUGGCUCCAUUCAAGGCUAUCAUGGUCUUCGUGAUGAGUUACUGUACUUUCUUAUUGCACCAAUUUCCUUACUUUAAAAAUAGUAUAAUAAUAGUACGUAGAGAUUAUUGCGAGGGUAUAACUGAGUAAUAUUUAACGUUGAAAUUGCCUGGUGUAUAUAAAAUGCUCAGUAAAUGUUAGUCAUCAUUAUAUAGUCCUCAGCAGAACUGUAUGUAGUGGGAUCUCUGGUAAGCGCUCGAUAAUUUCUUCAUGAAUAAUAUAUGUUCAGUAAGGAGGCAGAAAGAAAUGAUUUUCUUUUGCAAUGAACUAAGAGACGGAGGCCUGAAAAAAUGCAGACAUGAGCAAGAAGAGAAAAUGGAUGAACACAAGAUAAUAAUGUCAGGACUUUUUAUCAACAUCAAUAAUUCUAAUCUCUAUAUAGUACCAUUAAUGAAUGCAGUAUGUUACAUUCAUAUAAAAAGUUGAUUUCCAAAGCAUUGGCACAAUGAAAAUAGUUAAGAUUGUCCUUAAUAUGCUAGAAGCAGCAUUGUGAUUUUCAUGCAUUAUGUCACUCCUCACAGCAACCCUAUGAAAUAAGGACUAUUAUUAACUCCAUUUUACACAUCAAGAAACUGAGGAAAAGAGGUUAAGUGACCCACCCAAGAGCAUAGAGAUAAGAUGAAAAGGAGUUGAAUUUCAAACUCAGAAGGUUUGGCUUUGGAGUCUGUCCUUUUAACCACUAUAUUCUGGAAGGCUUUUCUACAUUCCUUCCAUUUACAUAUGCGUCAACCCCCUAUCUCUUUAUUAAAAAAUCCCUUGAGCUAGAUAAAAUAAAUGUUACCAUUACCUGUUUGACAGGGAGAAACAUCAGACAGAGGUGACUUGGCCUGACCACUCAGCUAUUUACUGGCAGGCAAAUCUUCUUGGGGGAUUAAUUGAUAUUCUGAUGGCACUCGCACGGUCCUAUCCCUAAUUCCCAGCAUUGGGAGCUAUUUCCCAGGAACAUGUUCUGCAGCUGGAAGGAGGCAUAAACACCUCACCAGCCUACAUUGCAGUUGCGUGGCUCAAUGCCUUUGCUACCUCUUUCUGAAUACGUCUAUUUUAAUUCUUUUCUCCCCCAUUCUUUAAUCCAGUCUAACUUCACUUUACUUAUGUUUUUAAGAGAAAAAUACGUAUUCUUGCCUUGGAGAAAAGCCAUGAGCUUCCUUUUCCUCCUGGGAGGGAUUAUUGGCAUUUGGAGGCCUUCUCUGUGAGCAUUCCACACCCCUUUUUAGAGCUGUUCCUCACCAUUUUUACUGGUCCUCAUAACAUUUCCCCUUUUCUUGCUGCCUCCUGACAUCACUCUGUUGCUAUUUCUUGUUCUUUGAUGUUUCCCAUAUCUAACUGCCCUGAUUCUCACCUCUACUUUCUGUCACAUUUGCCCCUCUGCUGUGAUUUGUUUCCUAGCUGGCAGGCUGGCGACCAAAAGAACAGCAUCAUUGCUCAUUGUGCUUCUCUGGCUUACUCAUGAAAUCACAAGCAGCCUCCUUCCUACAUAAAAUUCCCAGUUUGAGCUGGAAGAGAAAUAGCCAUUAGGGAAGCAUAUGCUUUGUAGAAAUAGGAACUGCUGGGCUCCCAGCUUCUUCCUGAGCCUAUCAGCUUUUCGGGAUAGUGGCAUAGUUCAACUUUCGAAAGGGCAGGACGAGAGCCUUAUAUAUCACAUUUUUGCUGUCAAUAGUUAAGAGCUAUUGCUCUGUGUUGAAAGCAUCGUGGUUACACUCUUGAGUCAGAGGUCACUCAUUUCAUUAAUGAGGUCUUCGGAUGGUGUCUUGAUGGUAGCAAGUGUCUGUGAAUUCUAAGUGGGUUUGUCCAGCAAGCAUAUUGCCAGUGUAUAUGGUAAGUAGUCAUUUGCUUCUAAUAUUAUUUGCGUUAGUCUCAACAUUUUAGAUUGUUUUUGUGAGGGAGAGUGUGGAGUUUGAGCAUCUGUCCUAAUCUGGGGUCAAAAAGAAAAAAAAGCGGCUGCUUUUCCAGUACCCUUUCUAGGUUUUUCUCAAUGGUGCAGAUUUGCUUGGGAGGAAGAAAAUGAUGCUAUUUCAAUGGAAUCUUUCAGACGCUAAUUUGAUU
rnacentral:lncRNA from 1 species